GAUGAACGCUGGCGGCGUGCCUAAUACAUGCAAGUCGAGCGAACAGACGAGGAGCUUGCUCCUCUGACGUUAGCGGCGGACGGGUGAGUAACACGUGGAUAACCUACCUAUAAGACUGGGAUAACUUCGGGAAACCGGAGCUAAUACCGGAUAAUAUAUUGAACCGCAUGGUUCAAUAGUGAAAGACGGUUUUGCUGUCACUUAUAGAUGGAUCCGCGCCGCAUUAGCUAGUUGGUAAGGUAACGGCUUACCAAGGCAACGAUGCGUAGCCGACCUGGGAGGGUGAUCGGCCACACUGGAACUGAGACACGGGCCAGACUCCUACGGGAGGCAGCAGUAGGGAAUCUUCCGCAAUGGGCGAAAGCCUGACGGAGCAACGCCGCGUGAGUGAUGAAGGUCGUCGGAUCGUAAAACUCUGUUAUUAGGGAAGAACAAAUGUGUAAGUAACUAUGCACGUCGUGACGGUACCUAAUCAGAAAGCCACGGCUAACUACG
rnacentral:rRNA from 1 species